CCAUGCCCGGCUAAUUUUUAAAAUUUAUUUGAGACAGGGUCUGGCUAUGUUGUCGAGGCUGGUCUUGAAUUCCAGGGCUCAAACAAUCCUCCCACCUCAGCCUCCCAAAGUCUUGGGAAUACAGGUGUGAGCCACUGUGCCUGGCCAUGGUAGCUUGUCUUGAUGGUAUAAAAUUACUGUUUUCAUUACUGUGUUAGAUGUUUUUUCAUUUUCCCAUGGUGGCCUCCUUUGGGACUGUCCAUGCUUUUGCUCCAAGAGUAAAUCUCAAAGGAGCAAGCAUGAGUAGGAAUUUUCCUUGCAUGCACACAGCCAGCCAAACAGCCCUAUGUCCGUGAUGAGGUGCAUUCCAGAACCAGUGGUAGGAUGGGGUUGGGUUGUACCUACUAGCUGAAGUUUUUAUUAGAUGUAGAAUUUAAACUCACACUUGGUUCUGGGUCUAGUAUUUAAAAACUUCCUAUUGUAUUAUGUAUAUCUUUGUAUUCCUAGUGCUUAAUAAAUUAUAGUUCCUCAACUACUGUUUGUUGAUGAUUUGAAUAAUGUACAAAUAAAUAUCAGGGAGUACAACAGCUCCAUUAAAUCAUGUGGGUUUUUCCAAUUAUUUGCUGCUAUUUGUUUCUGGAACUGAUCUGAAAUAGAUAGCAUUUUGAUGUGUGACCUUUAACUUACCAAGGCAGACAGAAAACAGGAAAAGGGUGGGAGUCCCUAUGACUAAAACGUUUAUGUUAAGUCCAUGAUGGAUAUUCCAGGUGUUCUGGUAGGCAUCUUCCUGGCCAAAAUUUAAGCUGAAUUUGAGCGCAACGUCUAAUAACGGCUGGACUUGUUUUCCAGGGACCUCAAAGGUAUUUUCUUAGAUAGGUCAUGUUCUGGGGCUUUUGACUCUAAUGCAAUGUGGGCAAUGCAAUGACCAUGUUAUUUUAGAGACAUUUACAGGUCACUCAGGGAGUAUGAAGGAGGCAAACACUUUGGCUCUCUUAUAUCUGUCACUCACAGGAAGCUGGUGGCUUAAAGUUUUUAAGACAUUUGUUUUGGUUGAGUUCUCCACCAGAAGUUGAGCAAGGCAGAAUUGCAAGGGCAGGUCCAGGUUUUGUGAUGUCUGAAGCUUUAGACAAUAUAAGUUGUCCUAUUUAAGAAAGAUAAUAUAAAAUCAUAAAUAAAAAACUAGAUAUGAAAAUGAGUAUGUAACUUGAAGCCCCAGCUAGGCACAGUGUCUCACACCUGUAAUCCUUGCACAUUAGGAGGCUGAGGUGGGAGCCUUGCUCGAGGCCAGGAAUUUGAGACUAGCCUGGGCAAUAUGGCGAGACCACCCCUCUUUACAAAAAAAAAAUUAAAAAUUAGCCAGGCAUGGUUGCGCACCUGUAGUCAGUCCCAGUGACUCAGGAGGCUGAGGCAGGAGGAUUGCUUGAACUCAGGAAUCUGAGGCUGCAGUGAGCUAUGAUAAUGCCACUGCA
rnacentral:lncRNA from 10 species